UACGGGGGGGGCAAGCGUUGUUCGGAAUUACUGGGCGUAAAGGGCUCGUAGGUGGCCAACUAAGUCAGACGUGAAAUCCCUCAGCUUAACCGGGGAACUGCGUCUGAUACUGGAUGGCUUGAGUUUGGGAGAGGGAUGCGGAAUUCCAGGUGUAGCGGUGAAAUGCGUAGAUAUCUGGAGGAACACCGGUGGCGAAGGCGGCAUCCUGGACCAAUACUGACACUGAGGAGCGAAAGCCAGGGGAGCAAACGGG
rnacentral:rRNA from 1 species